AAAUUGAAGAGUUUGAUCAUGGCUCAGAUUGAACGCUGGCGGCAGGCCUAACACAUGCAAGUCGAGCGGUAGCACAGAGAGCUUGCUCUCGGGUGACGAGCGGCGGACGGGUGAGUAAUGUCUGGGAAACUGCCUGAUGGAGGGGGAUAACUACUGGAAACGGUAGCUAAUACCGCAUAACGUCGCAAGACCAAAGUGGGGGACCUUCGGGCCUCAUGCCAUCAGAUGUGCCCAGAUGGGAUUAGCUAGUAGGUGGGGUAACGGCUCACCUAGGCGACGAUCCCUAGCUGGUCUGAGAGGAUGACCAGCCACACUGGAACUGAGACACGGUCCAGACUCCUACGGGAGGCAGCAGUGGGGAAUAUUGCACAAUGGGCGCAAGCCUGAUGCAGCCAUGCCGCGUGUGUGAAGAAGGCCUUCGGGUUGUAAAGCACUUUCAGCGGGGAGGAAGGCGNUAAGGUUAAUAACCUUGNCGAUUGACGUUACCCGCAGAAGAAGCACCGGCUAACUCCGUGCCAGCAGCCGCGGUAAUACGGAGGGUGCAAGCGUUAAUCGGAAUUACUGGGCGUAAAGCGCACGCAGGCGGUCUGUCAAGUCGGAUGUGAAAUCCCCGGGCUNAACCUGGGAACUGCAUUCGAAACUGGCAGGCUAGAGUCUUGUAGAGGGGGGUAGAAUUCCAGGUGUAGCGGUGAAAUGCGUAGAGAUCUGGAGGAAUACCGGUGGCGAAGGCGGCCCCCUGGACAAAGACUGACGCUCAGGUGCGAAAGCGUGGGGAGCAAACAGGAUUAGAUACCCUGGUAGUCCACGCCGUAAACGAUGUCGAUUUGGAGGUUGUGCCCUUGAGGCGUGGCUUCCGGAGCUAACGCGUUAAAUCGACCGCCUGGGGAGUACGGCCGCAAGGUUAAAACUCAAAUGAAUUGACGGGGGCCCGCACAAGCGGUGGAGCAUGUGGUUUAAUUCGAUGCAACGCGAAGAACCUUACCUGGUCUUGACAUCCACAGAACUUNNCAGAGAUGNNUUGGUGCCUUCGGGAACUGUGAGACAGGUGCUGCAUGGCUGUCGUCAGCUCGUGUUGUGAAAUGUUGGGUUAAGUCCCGCAACGAGCGCAACCCUUAUCCUUUGUUGCCAGCGGUNNGGCCGGGAACUCAAAGGAGACUGCCAGUGAUAAACUGGAGGAAGGUGGGGAUGACGUCAAGUCAUCAUGGCCCUUACGACCAGGGCUACACACGUGCUACAAUGGCAUAUACAAAGAGAAGCGACCUCGCGAGAGCAAGCGGACCUCAUAAAGUAUGUCGUAGUCCGGAUUGGAGUCUGCAACUCGACUCCAUGAAGUCGGAAUCGCUAGUAAUCGUAGAUCAGAAUGCUACGGUGAAUACGUUCCCGGGCCUUGUACACACCGCCCGUCACACCAUGGGAGUGGGUUGCAAAAGAAGUAGGUAGCUUAACCUUCGGGAGGGCGCUUACCACUUUGUGAUUCAUGACUGGGGUGAAGUCGUAACAAGGUAACCGUAGGGGAACCUGCGGUUGGAUCACCUCCUUACCUUAAAGAA
rnacentral:rRNA from 1 species